rnacentral:misc_RNA from 1 species
AAGUCGUAACAAGGUCUCCGUAGGUGAACCUGCGGAGGGAUCAUUAAAGAGUUUAGGGUCCUCGUGGCCCGAACCUCCCAACCCGUGCUUACCUUACCUCUGUUGCUUUGGCAGGCCGUGGAUCCCUAGCGGGACCCCCGCAUGCCCCGGUGGCUCCGGCUGCCUGGGGCACCGCGCGUGUCUGUCAGAAGCCAAAACCUUAAAACUUUAUUCAACCUCGUGUCGUCUGAGAUAUAUCAUAAAUAGCUCAAAACUUUCAACAACGGAUCUCUUGGUUCCA